AGGCCCCCCCACCUCCCUGCUGCCCCCAGCUCAUCUCCUCUGUCCAUGGAGCAGUGUAGGCCCAGGUUCCAGAGAAGGACAGGACUGCGGGGCUCUGAGCUCCUCGUGGACAGAGUUAGCGUCAGGCUGAUGGGAGCUGGCACCCUGGACAGGCCUGGAGCCCAGAGUGGGGCCGAGCAGGUGGCUGGUGCCAGGUUCCCGCUGGACGAAGUAGAAUGAGCUCUCAGGUGGGGACAGGGAGUGGAGGACAGCGGGCCGGGCCAUGCCCCACCUGGGGGGAGGGGAUCAGGACUCAGGAAGGCACCAGGACAGAGACACCGACUCUCCAGGCACUCAGGUGCCCUGAGAUGGGACCGCGCCCUGGGAGCAGAGUCCAGGGAGCAGCCUCCCCUGCAGGCAAGGAAAUGAAGGAGGAGCCUGAGGUCUCUUCCCCAAAACCAAACAGAUCGCCCUGGACGUGAACAAGACCUUCCGCAGCCACAUGGUGUUCUGGGACCGCUGUGGGGUCAGGGGCUCCACUGCUAAUACUUCAUCGUUGGACUUGCGAUCAGGUGACGUGGGGCUCACACAGUUAUUCUCCUUUUCCCGAAUCCUUAAGCUGUCCUACGCUUUCCAUCUUUGCAUGCAAGUUUGAGAAUCAGCUUAUCUCUACCUACAAAAGUCUCCCUGGGAUUUUGAUUUGGACUCUGUUGACCCGAACACCGUUUAAAGACAACCGAUGGCUUUACUGCAGCAGACCUGUCGAUCCCUGAGCAUGGUUCCUGGCUCACAGCUCACAAGACACAUUGGAAUUUCUGAGAGCAAAGGGCCCGUCUUCUGUUGCAUAGCUUGGUCUCUUGUCCACAGUGGCUGAAAUCCCUUCAGAGCCGUGAAGGAGUGUCCUGUCCCAGGCAGACAUUGCCACUCCAAGUCUCCCGCACUUCCUGUUCUUACACCAGGACCCUGGACUCAAAUCAUCACCCAGGACUGGACAAUAACUCAGCCAGCUCAUCAAAGUUCCUCUUCCCACCACUCCACUGGCCCAUUAGGUUGUGGGAAAUAAGGUGUUAUAGUGAGUUUUUUUUUCUCUUUCCAGGAUCAGAUGAACUUGGGGAAAUGUUCCAAGUGUUCCCCAAAACCUGGAGCUGGGGGAGCGCACACAAGGAUGUGUGUGCUUCUGUGCUGAGCCUCCUGUCCACAAGGAGGCUGCCAGCUUGUGGCCAGGAGAAAGCCCUGGCAAGUCAGAUGUGCUUGUGCAGGAGGCAGCCCUCAGGGGCCCCAGCCACCCACUGCUCCAGCUUCCACAGUUGGAAUACGCAACUGCUUCAUUUCAUUUCUAGAUCGAACCUUUGAUCCCCACUUGCACCCUUCUAUUAUGAGAGUAGAAGUCCCUACAUCUAAUGUUAUGGGUGCACGUGGGCACACACACAGCCAUCUGGGAAAUGCCUACACUGCACUGUCCAAUAGGGUGGCCACAACCCUCGUGGCUUGAGCACUAGCUGUGGCUCCCACCGUAUUUCUCCAGGGUAGCAGCUUAUUUAGAAAGAGUGGUUCUAAUAUGUCUCCCUUCGUGUUGUAAGAGCACAGGCUGCUACUAUCACAUUACUUCAAAAAACCUUACAGAAUACAUAAAACAAUGGUUCUUGAGACAUGGGACACUAGAAGACGAAAGGACUUUGACCCUGAGAGACCAGCAGCCUUUGAGGUAAGACCUAUGACAGCCCGGGUCCUUCCUAGACAAAGUUUCCAAACCACAGCAGAGGGAAGAAAACCCACACAACGCCCGGAGGCCUUCCUGGUGAAGAGGACAGAGCCUGGAGGCCAGAGGCCAGGAGGCUAGAAAGCUAGAGUACCAGACAGGAAAGGGUCUGCUCAAAUUAAGGAGUCCAGGCCCACAGGAGCCCCUUGACUGUCCAGCAGAUACUAGUGAGCACUCGCAUGUGCAGGAACUACCCAGCAGGGCAGAGAGAACCCUCCAGAAGAACCAGAGGGAACAGUCCCCAGGAAACCCUCACAAGGUGCUGGCAAUACUGCCUGUUCCCAACAGCUUCAGGGGGCCUCACCCCAUGGGGUGGCAGACGGAACAUUCAGGAGGGGGUUCCCCUGACAGUGGGGAAAAAUUAAGCCUGGACAAAGUGCUGCUCUCCUUCACCCAACAAAGUGUAAGAGUAAGACGUGAAUGGAUCAAAUUGUCCUCAAGUAACUCAAUCUUCAAGCGGAGAAAGCUGGAACAGACCAGAGAGCCCAGAAAUAAACCCACGUGUACAAGGUCAAUUCAAUUAUAGUGAAGGAACCAAGAACACCCAAUGGGGAGAGGACAGUUUCUUCAACAAAUGGUGCUGGUAACACUGGACAGCCACGUGCAGAAAGAGUCUGAACCCCUUCCUCACACCACACACACGUCAACUCAGAAUGGAUUCAAGUGGGAAUGUCCGACCUGAAACCCUACAAGUCCCGGGAGGAAACACAGGCGGUAAGGUCCCUGACCCUGGCCUUGGUGAUGUUUGCUGGGUUUGGCAGCAGAAGCAAAGGCAAUAGAAACAAAAGUAAACCAGCAAGGCUAUACCCAACGGGAAAGCUUCUGCACAGCCAGGGAAGCCACUGAAUGGGAGAAAAUAGCUGCAAAUCAUAAUGUGAUGAGAUGGAUAUUUAAAAUACAAGAACUCACAUCACAAAGGACCAGAAGACAAAAAGCACCAGAUUAAAAAUGGGCAGAAGAUCUAGACAGACCUUUUUCCCAAAAGACUGACACAUGGCCAACAGGCACAGGAAAAGAUGCCCUACAUCACCGAUCAUCAGGGUUUGCAAAUCAAAGUCCCUAGGAGUUGCCACCUCAUGCCUAUCAGAAUCUCUGGUAUCAAAAAGACAAGAAAUAUCAAGUGGGGGUGAGGAUGUGGAGACAAAGGAAGCCAGACGCACGGUUGAUGGGAAGGCAAGUUGGUGCAGCCAAUGUGAAGCCAUCAUGGAGGUUCCUCGAAAAAUUAAAAAAUUAAAAAAUUAAAAAAUUAAAAACGAAGCAGCCCGGGAUCCCUUACGCUGAUGAACAGAUUACCAAGAGCUGAUAUAUCUACACCGUGAAUAGGAGUCAGCCAUGAGAAGGAACAAAAUCCUGCCGCCUGUGACCAUGUGUCCCCACACCCAAGGGUGUGAUGCCCAGUGAGAGAAGGUACAGGAGAAAGAUGAAUACUGGGUGCUUUCACUCAUAUGUGGGAUCUGAAAAAAACAAAACAAAUGAACAAGGAUAAACCAAACGGAAUCGUUUUUUUUUUUUUUAACACAGAAAAAUAUAUCUUUCUUUAAAAGAAUGAUAUUUUCCAAAACAAACACGCAAAAAGAGUAAAGUGACAAGUGUGGCACUGAUUUACAAUUUGGCAGAUCUCUUUAAUAUCUGGAUUCACAGGGACGCCUGGGUGGCUCAGUGGCUGGGCGUCUGCCUUUGGCUCAGGUCGUGAUCCUGAGGUCGUGAGAUCGAGUCCCACAUCGGGCUCCCUGCACAGACUCUGCUUCUGCUUCUGCCUGUGUCUCUGCCUCUCUCUGUGU